rnacentral:rRNA from 1 species
UACGGAGGAUCCGAGCGUUAUCCGGAUUUAUUGGGUUUAAAGGGUGCGCAGGCGGGGGAUUAAGUCGGCGGUGAAAUUUUGCAGCUCAACUGUAAAAGUGCCUUCGAAACUGGUUUCCUUGAGUGUAGAUGAAGUAGGCGGAAUUUGUGGUGUAGCGGUGAAAUGCAUAGAUAUCACGAGGAACUCCGAUUGCGAAGGCAGCUUACUAUGCCUUUAUUGACACUGAUGCACGAAAGCGUGGGGAUCAAACAGGAUUAGAUACCCUGGUA